rnacentral:rRNA from 1 species
AUUGAACGCUGGCGGCAGGCUUAACACAUGCAAGUCGAGCGGGGGAAGGUAGCUUGCUACCGGACCUAGCGGCGGACGGGUGAGUAAUGCUUAGGAAUCUGCCUAUUAGUGGGGGACAACAUCUCGAAAGGGAUGCUAAUACCGCAUACGUCCUACGGGAGACAGCAGGGGAUCUUCGGACCUUGCGCUAACAGAUGCGCCUAAGUCGGAUUAGCUAGUUGGUGGGGUAAAGGCCUACCAAUGCGACGAUCUGUAGCGGGUCUGAGAGGAUGAUCCGCCACACUGGGACUGCGACACGGACCAGACUCCUACGAGAGGUAGCAGUGGGGAAAAUUGGACAAUGGGGGGAACCCUGAUCCAGCCAUGCCGCGUGUGUGAAGAAGGCCUUAGGGUUGUAAAGCACUUUAAGCGAGGAGGAGGCUACUUUAGUUAAUACCUAGAGAUAGUGGACGUUACUCGCAGAAUAAGCACCGGCUAACUCUGUGCCAGCCGCCGCCGUAA